AUAUCAAUAAGCGGAGGAAAAGAAACUAACAAGGAUUCCCCUAGUAACUGCGAGUGAAGCGGGAAAAGCUCAAAUUUAAAAUCUGGCGGUCUUUGGCCGUCCGAGUUGUAGUUUAGAGAGGUGUCUUCCGCGUCGGACCACACACAAGUCCUUUGGGAUAAGGCUUCAUAGAGGGUGAGAAUCCCGUACAUGGUGUGGACUACCGGGGCUAUGUGAUGCACCGUCAAAGAGUUGGGUUGUUUGGGAUUGCAGCCCUAAAUUGGAGAUAAACUUCUUCUAAGGCUAAAUAUCGAUGGGAGACCGAUAGCGCACAAGUA
rnacentral:rRNA from 1 species